AGUCGAGCGAGGUCCAACCAGUCGCAAGGCUGGGGAAGACCUAGCGGCGAACGGGUGAGUAACACGUGAGCAACCUGCCCCGAAGACCGGGAUAACACCGGGAAACCGGUGCUAAUACCGGAUGCCCCCACCGGGCCGCAUGACCCGGUGAGGAAAGGGUUUCCGCUUCGGGAGGGGCUCGCGGCCUAUCAGCUUGUUGGUGGGGUAAUGGCCCACCAAGGCUUCGACGGGUAGCUGGUCUGAGAGGACGACCAGCCACACUGGGACUGAGACACGGCCCAGACUCCUACGGGAGGCAGCAGUGGGGAAUCUUGCGCAAUGGGCGAAAGCCUGACGCAGCAACGCCGCGUGGGGGAUGAAGGCCUUCGGGUUGUAAACCCCUUUCAGUAGGGACGAAAUUGACGGUACCUGCAGAAGAAGCCCCGGCCAACUACGUGCCAGCAGCCGCGGUAAUACGUAGGGGGCAAGCGUUGUCCGGAUUCAUUGGGCGUAAAGAGCUCGUAGGCGGCUUAGCAAGUCGGGUGUGAAAACUUCAGGCUCAACCUGGAGAUGCCACCCGAUACUGCUAUGGCUAGAGUCCGGUAGGGGACCACGGAAUUCCUGGUGUAGCGGUGAAAUGCGCAGAUAUCAGGAGGAACACCGGUAGCGAAGGCGGUGGUCUGGGCCGGCACUGACGCUGAGGAGCGAAAGCGUGGGGGGCAAACAGGAUUAGAUACCCUGGUAGUCCACGCCGUAAACGGUGGGUACUAGGUGUGGGGCCUUAUCAACGGGUUCCGUGCCGCAGCUAACGCAUUAAGUACCCCGCCUGGGGAGUACGGCCGCAAGGCUAAAACUCAAAGGAAUUGACGGGGGCCCGCACAAGCGGCGGAGUAUGUGGCUUAAUUCGAAGCAACGCGAAGAACCUUACCUGGGCUUGACAUGUAGGGAAAAGCCGUAGAGAUACGGUGUCCUUCGGGGCCCUACACAGGUGGUGCAUGGCUGUCGCCAGCUCGUGUCGUGAGAUGUUGGGUUAAGUCCCGCAACGAGCGCAACCCUUGUCCUAUGUUGCCAGCGGGUAAUGCCGGGGACUCGUAGGAGACUGCCGGGGUCAACUCGGAGGAAGGUGGGGAUGACGUCAAGUCAUCAUGCCCCUUACGUCCAGGGCUGCACUCAUGCUACAAUGGCCGGUACAAAG
rnacentral:rRNA from 1 species